rnacentral:rRNA from 1 species
UACGAAGGGGGCUAGCGUUGUUCGGAAUUACUGGGCGUAAAGCGAGUGUAGGCGGUUCGGUAAGUCGGAUGUGAAAGCCCCGGGCUCAACCCGGGAAGUGCACUCGAUACUGCCGAGCUAGAGUAUCGGAGAGGUUGGUGGAAUUCUCGGUGUAGAGGUGAAAUUCGUAGAUAUCGAGAGGAACACCGGUGGCGAAGGCGGCCAACUGGACGAAUACUGACGCUGAGACUCGAAAGCGUGGGGAGCAAACAGG